rnacentral:rRNA from 1 species
CAAUAGCGUAUAUUAAAGUUGUUGCAGUUAAAAAGCUCGUAGUUGGAUUUCGGGACGGGCCAGUUGGUCCGCCGCAAGGUGUGUUACUGACUGGUCUGUUCUUCUUCGCAAAGACUGCGUGUGCUCUUCGUUGAGUGUGCGUAGGAUUUACGACGUUUACUUUGAAAAAAUUAGAGUGUUCAAAGCAGGCCAUCGCUUGAAUACAUGAGCAUGGAAUAAUGGAAUAGGACUUUGGUCCUAUUUUGUUGGUUUCUAGGACCGAAGUAAUGAUUAAGAGGGACAAUUGGGGGCAUCCGUAUUUCGUUGUCAGAGGUGAAAUUCUUGGAUUUACGAAAGACGAACAACUGCGAAAGCACUUGCCAAGAGUGUUUUCAUUAA